GACGAACGCUGGCGGCGUGCUUAACACAUGCAAGUCGAACGGAAAGGCCCUGCUUUUGUGGGGUGCUCGAGUGGCGAACGGGUGAGUAACACGUGAGUAACCUGCCCUUGACUUUGGGAUAACUUCAGGAAACUGGGGCUAAUACCGGAUAGGAGCUCCUGCUGCAUGUUGGGGGUUGGAAAGUUUCGGCGGUUGGGGAUGGACUCGCGGCUUAUCAGCUUGUUGGUGGGGUAGUGGCUUACCAAGGCUUUGACGGGUAGCCGGCCUGAGAGGGUGACCGGCCACAUUGGGACUGAGAGACGGACCAGAAUCCUACGGGAGGCAGCAGUGGGGAAUAUUGCACAAUGGGCGGAAGCCUGAUGCAGAAACGCCGCGUGCGGGAUGACGGCCUUCGGGUUGUAAACCGCUUUCGCCUGUGACGAAGAGUGAGUGACGGUAAUGGGUAAAGAAGCACCGGCUAACUACGUG
rnacentral:rRNA from 1 species